AACCCAUGCAUCAGACAUUUCUGAAUUAAAUCUUUAAGUCAUUCCCAAGCUUUAUAUAAUGUUUCACUCUCUAAUUGUUGAAAAGACAUAAUGUCAUUUUUAAGCUU
rnacentral:snoRNA from 1 species